rfam:Bacteroides sp. CAG:598 genomic scaffold, scf63
GGGGUUGACUGGAUUUGACAGCGGGUAGAAAUGGUAGGUAAGCAUGCAGUGGGUCGGUAAUUUCCACUCUAAUCUCAGUUAUCAAACUUUUAUCUGGCAACGAAAAUUAUGCUCUCGCUGCUUAAUCGAAGUACAGUAGAUUAGCUUUAUUUCCGCCAAAGUGGUGGAAACGGGAUGUCACUCAAAAGCUCUUGUUCCGAAGCGUUUGGUAAAGUGGCACAGCAAAAUCGGGAAUAGCUCAGGUCUUUCUCCGCGGCCUUUGCGAAGUUUUAGGAGAUAAGGUGCAGGUUGGUGGCUCUGGUCUUGCCUGCAUUCGAAAAUCGAAGGCAGAGAUAAGCAUGUAGAAAGCUUAUGAUUUCCUCGUUUGGACGAGGGUUCGAUUCCCUCCAGCUCCACUA